rnacentral:rRNA from 1 species
UACGAACCGUACAAACGUUAUUCGGAAUCACUGGGCUUAAAGGGUGCGUAGGCGGCUCCGCAAGUUGGGUGUGAAAGCCCUCGGCUCAACCGAGGAACUGCGCUCAAAACUGCAGGGCUAGAGGGAGACAGAGGUGAGCGGAACUUAGGGUGGAGCGGUGAAAUGCGUUGAUAUCCUAAGGAACACCAGUGGCGAAAGCGGCUCACUGGGUCUCUUCUGACGCUGAGGCACGAAAGCUAGGGGAGCGAACGGGAUUAGAUACCCCUGUA